AAGCCCGUUCAGCAGAGGUGAAUGUGAAAGGGACGCCGGAGGACGUGUGCACUGUUCGAUGCUCUGAAAACCAGGACGCUGAAGAUCAGCAGUUCCAGAGGACACACACACACACACACACACACACACACACAAGAACAGAGAGAGAUACUGCAGACCGACUGCUAUCAGUGUCCACAGUAGGGUAUGAGAGCGCUACAGCAUCAUGUGGUUUCUGAGAUGGAGGAGUGAGAGUUCGGCUGAAAACAC